rnacentral:rRNA from 1 species
GACGAACGCUGGCGGCGUGCUUAACACAUGCAAGUCGAACGAAGUGGCGAACGGGUGAGUAACGCGUACUCAACCUGCCCUUCAGAGGGGGACUACAGUUGGAAACGACUGCUAAUACCGCAUAAUGAAGGAGGGGCUUGCGUCUGCUUAGCUAGUUGGGGGGGUAACGGCUCACCAAGGCGAUGAUCAGUAGCCGGGCUGAGAGGAUGAACGGCCACAUUGGGCAUGAGACACGGCCCAUACUCCUACGGGAGACAGCAGUGAGGACGCUUCCGCAAUGGACGAACGUCUGACGGAGCAACGCCGCGUGCGUGAUGACGGCCUUCUGGUGGUAAAGCUCUGUUAAUCGGGACGAGGUACCGGAAUAGAAAGCGACGGCUAACUACGUGCCAGCAGCCGCGGUAAUAC